rnacentral:lncRNA from 1 species
GUUUCGUUUUUAGGUAUUUUAACAGUUUUUUCCCCCUUCUCCAUUCCAAGUUUUGUGAGAAACGGAAGUAUUUUGACCUAAAGCUGUAAAGGGGGGUUUGGAACCCCGGAAAGGGUUUUAAAAUGUUGCACACCGUUCUGUCUCCAGACUAGACUGUCCGCUCCAACUGGUGGUGGGCUGGGACUGCAUACUCCUGCGCUCCGGGUGGGCGUGAGGAGAGUGCUCACUACCUACCUGACAGCCUUUCUGCUUAAUUUCAACCCACAUCUCUGAUACCUUACCAUCGCCACCGGGAAGAGUUCUGCCUGCAUUUUGGCACGGAGUCUGAAUCGAUAUUUCAAAUUAUAGUAUGCAUACUUUUUUGCAUAAUAAUUAACCGGUGUAUCCGGUCAAUUUUCGUAGAGUAUUUUCUUUAGGAUCAGAACAAAUAAGACAAUUAUCAUAAUAAAGAUUUGUUUCACCUGGACUGGAUCUUCUGUCUUCUGGAAGUAAAUUACUGCGUGAUGAAAAUGGAUUUGUUUUUCUCUACCUUCUAACCGCAGUUAACUAGGUUUUGAUGACUUUUCACUGUUGUAACUUAACUCCUCUGCCUGAUUUUGUGCCCCCAGAUUUACAUGUUGGGACAGGAACAUUUUUUUAUCUCUUGAAAACUUUGGGUUUUUUUUUAGUAUCACCAGGUGGGAAUAAAUACAUUAAGCACGUUCUAAUGCG